rnacentral:rRNA from 1 species
AUGAACGCUGGCGGCGUGCCUAAUACAUGCAAGUCGAGCGCACAGACGAGGAGCUUGCUUCUCUGACGUUAGCGGCGGACGGGUGAGUAACACGUGGAUAACCUACCUAUAAGACUGGGAUAACUUCGGGAAACCGGAGCUAAUACCGGAUAAUAUAUUGAACCGCAUGGUUCAAUAGUGAAAGACGGUUUUGCUGUCACUUAUAGAUGGAUCCGCGCCGCAUUAGCUAGUUGGUAAGGUAACGGCUUACCAAGGCGACGAUGCGUAGCCGACCUGAGAGGGUGAUCGGCCACACUGGAACUGAGACACGGUCCAGACUCCUACGGGAGGCAGCAGUAGGGAAUCUUCCGCAAUGGGCGAAAGCCUGACGGAGCAACGCCGCGUGAGUGAUGAAGGUCUUCGGAUCGUAAAACUCUGUUAUUAGGGAAGAACAAAUGUGUAAGUAACUAUGCACGUCUUGACGGUACCUAAUCAGAAAGCCACGGCUAACUACGUG